CUGGUGGUGAAACACCAAGGAUUAGCUUAAAUUUGUUGGGUUUUUUCUGUCUCAUGUAUGUAGUAAUUUGCCCAGGGAAGGCAUUCCUCAAAAUGAGUGAUUUCAAUACUUGAACUACAGGUUCCAUGUACGUGUAGAUAAUGAAAAUACUCUUGUGUGAUUGGGUGAGAUAAUUUGAGCAAUAUAUGGUAUGAAAAGUGAAUCUCUGAACAGUUUUUCAUGGUGCAAACCAUAGGCAGCAAGAGUGAAAUGAGUCAUCCACGUCUUUUAUUGCUAAUAGCAACACUUAGCAAUGCUAAUCAGCUAUACUGAGUUUCUGUUUUCAUUUUCCUAAUAAUUAAGUAAAAGAUCUGGCAUGCAAUCAAGUUUUGCUCUAGGGAGUUCAUGCAAAAUUAAUUUUUUAAUUGUACAUUCUGAUAAAUAUAUCCUGCAAAAGGGAAGUUGCUGAAGUUGAGAAGAAAAGAAAAGAAAAGGAAAUACCAUUUACAGUGUGCUUCACCAGAAUCAGGCAGUGAUAUAGAAGGACAGCUGUUGCCUCAGGACAGAAAUCAACCAGAAAUGGACACCAGUGAAGAUUUGAGAAAGAAAAUCCAAGAGCUUGAGAAAAAAACCUUGGACUUAACCAAUCAACACAGUCAGUGAUAUGUCUCACUAUGAAAAAGAUUUAACAAAAUUAAGGUUGGAACUCGAGAGAGGAGAGGCUCUCCAUCAGGUUCUGGAAAAUGAAAUGUUCUUGGCUAGAAAAGAGGCUGAGGUGCAGAUGUAUUCUACACAAGAAGAGCUCUGUGAUACAAAAGCCAAGCUUUUGGAACUGCAAGCACGCGGGAGAGGACAAAUGCUGGCAGUGCACCACAGAACCUGCACUGGCUCUGGAACCCACCCACCCUCUGAAUCUUUGUGUGUUCACUUUGGACCUGAAGCAGCUGGUUCACCUCCCCUACCUGCUCCUGCUUCUCCAUGUGAUGAUGUUUGUCAGUCACGUGUCUCAACCCCAGCAGCCAGAGCAUCUCCUACUCCUUCUCCUGCUCCUGGAUGAUAUUUUCCAGCCUUAUGUUUCAACCCCAGCAGCCAGCUGCACCUGCUGCUCCUUCUCCUGCUCUGGAUGGUAAGUCUCAUUUCAAGUAAAUAUGGUCCCUCGGAUGUGGAUGCAGAAGCAGGAUCUCACUUCAUGCUGCAAAGCUUACAUAGGCAAAUGGAAUGAUACUUACAGUAAUUUCAUUAAUACAAGCCGCACGGACUACAAACCGCAUUGCCGGGUGUUGGCAAACAUUUCGUUCUUUGUCCAUAAAUUAGCCGCACCCAAUUAUAAACCGCUCAGUGAGGACCCGCGUGCAACGAAUUUGCCAAACAGUAACAGAACCACGGGAUCGGGGGCUGGGGUGUACUGGCUCGGCUUGGGCCGUGAGGGCUCAGGGCGGAGCCAGGUGACCCAGCUCGGCGCUGCUGCUCGGCGC
rnacentral:lncRNA from 1 species